rnacentral:rRNA from 1 species
AUUGAACGCUGGCGGCAUGCCUUACACAUGCAAGUCGAACGGUAACAGGUCUUCGGAUGCUGACGAGUGGCGAACGGGUGAGUAAUACAUCGGAACGUGCCCGAUCGUGGGGAUAACGAAGCGAAAGCUUUGCUAAUACCGCAUAAGAUCUACGGAUGAAAGCAGGGGACCGCAAGGCCUUGCGCGAACGGAGCGGCCGAUGGCAGAUUAGGUAGUUGGUGGGAUAAAAGCUUACCAAGCCGACGAUCUGUAGCUGGUCUGAGAGGACGACCAGCCACACGGGGACUGAGACACGGCCCAGACUCCUACGGGAGGCAGCAGUGGGGAAUUUUGGACAAUGGGCGAAAGCCUGAUCCAGCCAUGCCGCGUGCAGGAUGAAGGCCUUCGGGUUGUAAACUGCUUUUGUACGGAACGAAAAGACUCUUUCUAAUAAAGAGGGUCCAUGACGGUACCGUAAGAAUAAGCACCGGCUAACUACGUGCCAGCAGCCGCGGUAAGAC